UCCGGAUUUGGUUGCUCUUGGACC
rnacentral:siRNA from 1 species